UGUCAAAUUUGUUUAUAUUCUCCAAUUAAACGAGUGGUCACUGUAUGUACUUUAUAUACAUAUUUAUAUAUUAUUUAUGAAACUGCGCUUAGUCAUUGCUUGCAUAAGAGAUUAUAGCAUUCAUGUCAUUGCUUAUUUUAAUUUCAACAAAGCACAGCGAACAGAGCUUAAAUGGGAAUAAAAUUUGCUAAUUUGGAAAUACUAAAUAUAUUGUCGUGGGGUCGAAGGAGAUGAGUACAGUUUCCUGCAGAAAUAUACUUUUAUAUCAGAAACACAUACGGUAUUUAUAUUCUCCUUCAAUAAUAGCAAUAAAAAGUUAAUAUGGGACUGUCGAAAACAAGAUGAAGAAUUUACACUCUGUAUAUAGUACAUACAUGUGUUACCUUUAGUUCUACCAUCCUGGACUGUUCGUAUAUUUUUUAAAAUUCGCAUAUUAAGAAGAAUCCUUUCACAAAUGACUUCACCGAUGAACUUUAAAAAUGUAUCUACGUUCCGUAGAAACGCACUAUUUUGUUGGAUUUGAGCUGCUUUCAAUUCUUAUUGGAUUGAAAUUAAACGCGUCUGAAAAUGCGGACUAAGAAAAUUGUGGUACACAAAAUAUUCUGUCUUAUAAGAGAAAAUAAGGUGUUCAUACGGACAGAUGGACAGUCGGACAUGGCUACAUCACCUCGGCUGUCGACGCUGAUCACGAAUAUAUAUAUUUUAAAGGAUCGGAGAUGCCUCCUUCAACCUGUUACAUACAUUUCCUGCCGGCACAAAGUUAUAAUACCUUUGCUCUAUGGCGUACGUGCUUCGAUCGCUGGCUAAGGCGUUUCGUUUCGAUGGGCGGGGUUUUAUUGUAUGCAUGUUUUAGGCCCUCACUUUAACCGAAAAAAAAGAUGGUUUGUUACAAAAGUUACGGGCCUACAAUGUAAUACAAAAUGACGUCACUGACAAUAUGAAUGGCAGCAGUUUGCGUGGAUAAUUCGCUACCAUUUAAAUUGAUAAGCAAUUUGCACAUUUGUAAAUAUUGUAAACCCAAAAACAAAUUUAA